UGGGGAAUAUUGGACAAUGGGCGAAAGCCUGAUCCAGCCAUGCCGCGUGUGUGAAGAAGGUCUUCGGAUUGUAAAGCACUUUAAGGUGGGAGGAAGGGCAGUAAGCGAAUACCUUGCUGUUUUGACGUUACCGACAGAAUAAGCACCGGCUAACUCUGUGCCAGCAGCCGCGGUAAUACAGAGGGUGCGAGCGUUAAUCGGAUUUACUGGGCGUAAAGCGUGCGUAGGCGGCUAAUUGAGUCGGAUGUGAAAUCCCCGAGCUUAACUUAGGAAUUGCAUUCGAUACUGGUUAGCUAGAGUGUGGGAGAGGAUGGUAGAAUUCCAGGUGUAGCGGUGAAAUGCGUAGAGAUCUGGAGGAAUACCGAUGGCGAAGGCAGCCAUCUGGCCUAACACUGACGCUGAGGUACGAAAGCAUGGGGAGCAAACAGG
rnacentral:rRNA from 1 species